AAGGCUGCUAGACUCCAGGCUGCCAAAGAGGCAGCUCCAGUCAAAGUAGAAAUUUUAGAAGUUGGGGAAAAAGGUAUGUUGAUUGAGGAAUUAGCCUACAACUUGGCCAUCAGUGAAGGUGAAAUUCUUGGGUAUCUGUACUCAAAGGGGAUUAGACCUGAUGGGGUGCAAACUCUGGACAAGAACAUGGUAAAGAUGGUAUGCAAGGAGUAUGAUGUGGAGGUCAUAGAUGCUGCUCCUGUUAGAUUUGAAGAAAUGGCAAGAAAAAGGGAAAUUCUUGAUGAAGAUGAUCUGGACAAACUGGAAGAGAGGCCUCCUGUCCUAACUAUAAUGGGGCAUGUGGAUCAUGGCAAGACGACCUUAUUGGAUUACAUUCGUAAAAGCAGGUUGGCUUCCUCAGAAGCUGGUGGGAUUACACAAGGAAUUGGAGCAUAUAAAGUUCUGAUACCUGUUGAUGGGAAGUUACAACCUUGUGUUUUUCUUGAUACUCCUGGCCAUGAGGCAUUUGGAGCAAAGUUCUGGUACCUGUUGAUGGGAAGUUGCAACCUUGUGUUUUCCUUGAUACUCCUGGGCAUGAGGCAUUUGGUGCAAUGAGAGCUCGUGGGGCAAGGGUGACAGAUAUUGCAAUUAUUGUGGUGGCUGCUGAUGAUGGGAUUCGUCCUCAGACAAACGAGGCCAUAGCUCAUGCCAAAGCGGCCGGAGUUCCGAUUGUAAUUGCUAUAAAUAAGAUAGAUAAAGAUGGAGCUAAUCCAGAAAGAGUCAUGCAAGACCUUUCUUCAAUUGGUCUCAUGCCAGAAGACUGGGGUGGUGACAUCCCAAUGGUUCAGAUCAGUGCUCUCAAGGGGGAUAACAUAGAUGAUUUGUUAGAAACUGUUAUGCUUGUUGCUGAGUUACAAGAGUUGAAGGCUAAUCCUCACAGAAAUGCGAAGGGUACUGUUAUUGAGGCAGGUCUUCAUAAAUCUAAAGGACCAGUAGCUACAUUUAUUGUACAGAAUGGCACACUUAAAAGAGGGGAUGUAGUGGUUUGUGGAGAAGCCUUUGGCAAGGUGCGAGCUUUAUUUGAUGAUAGUGGAAACCGAGUUGAUGAAGCUGGGCCAUCUAUUCCUAUACAGGUUAUUGGAUUGAGUAACGUACCAAUUGCUGGUGACGAAUUCGAAGUUGUUGCCUCCCUUGAUAUUGCACGUGAAAAGGCUGAAGCACGUGCGGAAUUAUUGCGUAAUGAGCGUAUAUCGGCCAAGGCUGGGGAUGGAAAGGUCACACUUUCUUCUUUAGCAUCUGCUGUUUCAUCAGGAACGUUGUCUGGAUUAGAUUUGCACCAGCUAAAUAUUAUAAUGAAAGUUGAUGUUCAGGGAUCGAUUGAAGCUGUCAGACAAGCCUUACAGGUGCUCCCCCAAGAUAACGUCACCUUGAAGUUCCUCUUGCAAGCAACAGGAGAUGUAAGCACUAGUGAUGUUGAUCUUGCCAUUGCCAGUGAAGCUAUUAUUUUGGGAUUUAAUGUCAAAGCGCCAGGUUCUGUCAAGAGCUAUGCAGAAAACAAAGGUGUUGAGAUUCGGCUAUAUAGAGUGAUCUAUGAUCUCAUUGAUGAUGUACGAAAUGCAAUGGAAGGACUUCUGGAACCUGUUGAGGAACAAGAAACAAUUGGCUCAGCAGAAGUCCGGGCUGUGUUUGGCAGUGGCAGUGGCCGUGUUGCUGGAUGCAUGGUAACAGAUGGGAAAGUAAUGAAAGGCUGUGGCAUUAAAGUCAUUCGAAAUAAAAAGAUAGUCCAUGUUGGUGUUCUUGAUUCUCUGAGACGAGUUAAGGAAAUUGUGAAAGAGGUAAAUGCUGGGCUAGAGUGCGGCAUUGGAAUGGAAAACUACGAUGAUUGGGAGGAAGGAGAUAUUAUCGAGGCCUUCAACACGGUUGAGAAGAAGCGGACCCUUGAAGAGGCAUCAGCUUCAAUGGCAGCUGCACUGGAAGAAGCAGGAAUUAACUUGUAGAAGAACAUACAUGUAGCUUUAAAAUUGGCAAAUUUGCUUUCCCUGAUGGAUUGAAAAAAAAAAAAAAAGAAGAAGAAAAAGAAAAGAAAAGCAAAGAAUUCUUGUUAAAACAACUAAUGAAACCAGUGCUCUCAACAGGAGGAAUAUAUAAAUGGGUUGGCGUUGGCGUGCAAUUUAUUUCAAAGUGCCAGGUGCUUCGGAGUCUGAGGUCUGAGCUUGCAUUGAUUUUGUCCAUUGUUGUAUUCUAUUUGAAUGUAUAUAUCGAUAUCACAUCUUAGCUUCUUUAUGUAAAGAAGGAACAAUCUUACAAGUUCCUCAACGAUUAUAUGCCUCAAAAAUACUUUUGUAAUGUCAUCGUUGAGGAACUUGUAAGAUUGUUCCU
rnacentral:misc_RNA from 1 species